UACAGAGGGGGCAAGCGUUAUUCGGAAUUAUUGGGCGUAAAGGGCGCGUAGGCGGCUUUGCAAGUGACGGGUGAAAUCCCUCGGCUUAACCGAGGAACUGCCUGUCAAACUGCAUGGCUUGAGACCGGGAGAGGUGAGUGGAAUUCCCAGUGUAGCGGUGAAAUGCGUAGAUAUUGGGAGGAACACCAGUGGCGAAGGCGGCUCACUGGACCGGUACUGACGCUGAUGCGCGAAAGCGUGGGGAGCAAACAGGG
rnacentral:rRNA from 1 species